rnacentral:rRNA from 1 species
AGCAUAUUAAUCAGUGGAGGAA